rnacentral:misc_RNA from 1 species
UUUCCGUAGGUGAACCUGCGGAAGGAUCAUUACCGAGUGAGGGCCCUCUGGGUCCAACCUCCCACCCGUGUUUAUCGUACCUUGUUGCCUCGGCGGGCCCGCCUCACGGCCGCCGGGGGGCACCCGCCCCCGGGCCCGCGCCCGCCGAAGACACCAUUGAACGCUGUCUGAAGAUUGCAGUCUGAGCAUCUUAGCUAAAUCAGUUAAAACUUUCAACAACGGAUCUCUUGGUUCCG